rnacentral:rRNA from 1 species
UACGUAGGCACCAAGCGUUGUCCGGAUUUAUUGGGCGUAAAGAGCUCGUAGGCGGUUCAGUAAGUCGGGUGUGAAAACUUUGGGCUUAACCCAAAGCGUGCAUCCGAUACUGCUGUGACUUGAGUUCGGUAGGGGAGUGGGGAAUUCCUAGUGUAGCGGUGAAAUGCGCAGAUAUUAGGAGGAACACCGGUGGCGAAGGCGCCACUCUGGGCCGAAACUGACGCUGAGGAGCGAAAGCAUGGGUAGCAAACAGG